AGUUUUGAGCUAAAUAUAUUUUAAAUAUUAGUUAUUUUAUGAAGGUGUUGUAAAACCUUAUUAAAAAAUAUAUUUAGGGGUGAUAGGCUUUUCAAAAACUAAGAUAUCUUGAAUCUAAUUAAAAGUAUGUAGUACAUAAAACACAACUAUUAAGUGAUUAGGCUUUAUAGAAUUAUUAACUUAUAAGAUUUUAUUUACUAUAAUUUAAUAUUUAAGUUCAUAAAUAUAUUAAUAUUCAUAUAUUUUAAUUUAUAAUAGAGUAAUUUGAUAGAUUUAAGUUUUUAUUUCUUAUAAUAAUGUUAAUAUUAGUAUUAAGUUUAUAUUUAUAUGAUGAACUCGGCAAAAAUAUUUCUCAACUGUUUAUCAAAAACAUAACUAUGUGAAUGAAUACAUAGCGGUUUCUGCUCAA
rnacentral:rRNA from 1 species